UACGGAGGGUGCAAGCGUUAUCCGGAAUCAUUGGGUUUAAAGGGUCCGCAGGCGGACUUAUAAGUCAGUGGUGAAAGCCUACAGCUUAACUGUAGAACUGCCAUUGAUACUGUAAGUCUUGAAUUCGGUCGAAGUGGGCGGAAUGUGUAGUGUAGCGGUGAAAUGCUUAGAUAUUACACAGAACACCAAUAGCGAAGGCAGCUCACUAGGCCUGGAUUGACGCUCAUGGACGAAAGCGUGGGGAGCAAAC
rnacentral:rRNA from 1 species